rnacentral:lncRNA from 1 species
CUUGAAUUCAUCUGGCACUGUUGACCAACACAGAGAGCCAAAACACACACGGAAUUCAAAAUCAGAAAUAAUCCCAAGUUUGAGUCAUCCAAUGUGCUUGUCUACAUUGAUUGCACUCACCAGAUAAAAGUCCAAUGCACUCUGUGGGGUGAAACAGCCUCUGUCUCAGGUUGGGAGUUGCUGCCAUGGAGACCACAAGAGUGGAGAUUUUCUGACACACAGAAAGGAAUGGAUUACAGCUCCUUCUUAUGUAAAUUUCCAUGGAGGGGAAAAAAGAUUAAAAGGAAAAUAAUUCUGCUUUAGUCGUUUUCCUUUAAGGUGAUAAGAUCCUUUGAUUCCAUCGUGGAGAAGAAGGCAACAGCUGUUUGUCACAAAUGUGGGAAGCUGCUUCUUGGGCAGGGUGGAUUUCCAUCUGCGUCUCCUUUUCGGUGUUGAAAGCUGAUGGGAAAUGUGCCAACGUCACAACAAGGUUUGAGGGAGGCACAUCUCAUGCUCGGACAUGAACACCCGAUCAUCAUGCUUAUGAACUACAAAAGGAUCUCCAGUAUGGGCUCACGGCAGUUGGCCCUUGAAUAACAUGAAUUUGAACUGCCUGAGUCUGCUAAUAUGUGGAUUAUCUUCUGCUUCUGCACCCUGAGACAGCAAGACCAACCCUUCCUCUUGCUUCUUUUCCUUAGCCUAUUCAACGUGAAGAUGACUAAGGUGUCUGCUGGAAGCGAGGGAGUCAGCCAUGCAAGUAUCUGGAGGACAAACAUCCCAGUCAGAGGGUUCAGCAAAUGCAAGAUCCCUGAUGUUGGAAUGAGGUCUGUUCCACAUUAUCUUCACUCUAGGACCCAAGCUGAUAAAGCAGCUCCCUCUGGAGCUAUUGAUGGUCUCAUGGAAGAGACAAAAAAAGAUCACAGUGAAUCACAUUCUGCUUCUGAACUCUUCUGCCUGGAAGUGACAAACAUCAUUUCCAUCACAUUUCACUGACCAAAGCAAGUCAUGAGU